ACGACGUUGCGAUUUGCGCGUGCGCGCCUCGAACGCAGCAACUCCUGACAGGAGAGGACAGCUCGUGUUUCUGAGGGAGAAAAACACUUUAAGGACUCAGGAAGUGACAUCAUCAUGUUGGGAAAUCAGCAGCACAAACAUCAUCAGUCCUGUCCUCCAGCCAAUGGUUAUGUCAUGGGUCUGACCUCUGACUUUUGACCUCACAGCGAAACAAAAAAGCCAAUUGAAGUAUUCCAGAUGAAGCCAAGUCACUCCUAAAUGCAAAGAAACAUUAUUCCCUGAAUUUUAUCUGAGUUAUGAACAUCACUGAGGAGGACAAAACUUCUGGAUCUAUAACAGAAAUGCAUUAGAAAGCACAAUAUUCACUCAGUGGACACUAAAGAAAGCAUUCAAAUGUCCAGAUCCUUAGCUCAGCGCUGUAAGAGAUGAUCUUGGAUCAGUUUUAGCUCCAUAACUCCCAACAUACGUCACCAGCUCCAUCUAGAUCUUUCCUCAGUGCCUGCCUAAAGUCAUCCACAACUUUUGUGGAAAGCCUAAGACUUCUAAGCACACAAAACCAAACCAAAGCACAAUUCACUCACCUUUGCUAGCUGAUGGAUUGUGGUCUUGGGUCUGUUGUCUUUGUGUUGGAGAGUGAGACAGUUACACUUACGGGACACAGAAGUUUCUUCAGAGCAUCAGCUCGAGUAAUGCGACCCUCCCACUUUACUCUCGGCCAAUCAGAGCUCUCCGAUCUCCCAGACAGAGCCGGCCCACAGCAGGGAUUUACCAUAUAAGGGCAAAGAAUGCUCAGCCUGUCUUUGUGUUGAAGGCACACAGAGAACGAGAGACCCGGAGGAAUCAACAUGAAAUGACAGGAAAAGAGAUAAGCUGCCUUAUUUAGAGAGAAUGAGGGAUGAGUGCGUUUGUGUACAUUCCUCAAAACCCCUGGUGUAACAUGCCUUGGAUGGACAGUGAUCUGGCCAAAUCUACUGGCUGGAUAACUCUGUUUAUAUUAAAUAACUCUUAACUUUUAUGCAUGACAGUAGUUUGGUUAUUGUUUUCCAGGGCCGUUAGUGUGACAUGAGCCAUGAACAUGAGAGAGAGUUAUUAUUAUGGAAGUUAUUAUCUUACUGCUCUUGGAAUAGGUAUUUUAUAUCCAUCAUUAAAGCUGGAAUUGAUUACCAUUUACAGAGUGAGUGUCUAAACACUGAAAAUAUGAUGGUGAUUGAGCAGUUAUAGCUCUUAUUUAAUGCUUGGAUAC